rnacentral:rRNA from 1 species
UACAGAGGCCCCAAGCGUUACUGAGAAUCACUGGGUUUAAAGGGUGCGUAGGUGGCGCGUUAAGUCCGUUGUGAAAUCCCUGGGCUCAACCCAGGAAUUGCUUCGGAUACUGGCUUGCUUGAGGCCGGUAGGGGUCACUGGAACUGACGGUGGAGCGGUGAAAUGCGUAGAUAUCGUCAGGAACGCCGAUGGUGAAGACAGGUGACUGGGCCGGAACUGACACUGAGGCACGAAAGCGUGGGGAGCGAACGGG